rnacentral:rRNA from 1 species
UAGGGGGCGAGCGUUAUCCGGAUUCACUGGGUGUAAAGGGAGCGUAGACGGCCAUGCAAGCCAGGGGUGAAAGCCCGGGGCCCAACCCCGGGACUGCCCUUGGAACUGCAUGGCUGGAGUGCGGGAGGGGCAGGCGGAAUUCCUGGUGUAGCGGUGAAAUGCGUAGAUAUCAGGAGGAACACCGGCGGCGAAGGCGGCCUGCUGGACCGCGACUGACGUUGAGGCUCGAAAGCGUGGGGAGCGAA